GGUCUGUAGCUCAGGUGGUUAGAGCCCACCCCUGAUAAGGGUGAGGUCGGUGGUUCAAGUCCACCCAGACCCACCAGAAUUGCGUGGCUCGUCGUUGCUUCCAAGCUCACGUGCGACUCGCACGCUACGCUUGCAAGCGCCUAGAUCCACACAAUUCUAUAGCUAAGGU
rnacentral:tRNA from 1 species